ACUGUAAGGAGACAUGAGAGGUGAAGCAUAAGUGGGAGAUGACAACAUUGCCGAUGAAAUACCACUACUUUCAUUGUUUCUUUACUUACUUGGUUGGGUGGAGCUUCGUGCCCCGGUGGUCACGGUGUUCUAGAGCCAAGUGUGUCAGAGUGGCGUGAGGCCUCGGCCGAUCGCUGAUGAUAUUCCCGCGUGGUCCGAUUCGAGGACACUACCAGGCGGGGAGUUUGACUGGGGCGGUACAUCUGUUAAAGUAUAACGCAGGUGUCCUAAGCCAGCUCAGCGAAGACAGAAACCUCGCGUAGAACAAAAGGGCAAAAGCUGGCUUGGUCUCGAUGUUCAGUACGC
rnacentral:ncRNA from 1 species